GACGUAGGGGGCGAGCGUUGUCCGGAUUUAUUGGGCGUAAAGCGCGCGUAGGCGGCCCGUUAAGUCGGAUGUGAAAACCCGGGGCUCAACCCCGGGCCUGCAUUCGAUACUGGCGGGCUCGAGGCAGGCAGGGGAGAGCGGAAUUCCUGGUGUAGCGGUGAAAUGCGCAGAUAUCAGGAGGAACACCGGUGGCGAAGGCGGCUCUCUGGGCCUGUCCUGACGCUCAGGCGCGAAAGCUAGGGGAGCAAACAGG
rnacentral:rRNA from 1 species